AGACUAGGGAGUGGGGGCAGGGAAAACCAUCUCCUUUAAGGAAAUCUGGCAGCUCAAACAGACUGACACAGUUUCUCUGCCCCUCAUCCAGACCAUGGUUAGCCACUGGUCUGGCACACCAGUGGCAUGCUCUCCACACCCAUCCUCUCUCUGCCAGGCACAAUCUGUCCCUCUGUGCUGACCGCUGGAAAAGCUUGUAGGGGUUAUAGAACAAAGGUUUGCCUGUGCAGCUGGUGAAGUGAGAAGCGCUCACUCUUGGAUAGAAAUGACAACAGCUUUUUUUUUAAAACCAAAUUAUUUAUUUGAGUAGAUGAAGCAAUAACUGUGCACUGUCUUCAGAGUCAUCUAAAACCAAAUUAAUGCCAUGCACUUGUAAGCCAAGGCAUAGGGAGGCAAGUAAAUCUUUCUUCCUAGUCUCAGGGGAGUUGCUUUUUCCCUGCAGCACAGGACACAGGCUCAUGCAUGCUUAAAAUGCCAUGUAUCAGUUACAGAGCCCAUGCUGCUGUUCAGAUGACACCACUGGGUUCCUCCUCAUCUCAGGAUGAUUGUUAGAGAAACGCUGGGGUUGGAUUGACUCAUGGGAAAUUGUUAUACUAAAGCUGGAGUGCAUGAGGAGUAUGGCUUAGCCCAUCUGCAUUCGAAGGCACAGCUAUUAGUUGGUGGCUUCGAUACCUGCCAACCUAUGAGAUGUCAAGUCUAUUUCUGCCUUCAUUCUGCCUCAGGCCAUGCAGUUUCCCCCCCAUGCUGAAGACUCUCCCCUGGCAUCCAGUUGGAACAACAGAAGGAUCAAACCAGCUCCCUGUUCAUUUGCAUCCGGCUCUUUCUGUUCCUGCCAACAGCACCCAGAGAAAGACCACGUGUUUAUUUUCAUGUAGUGUCUCCCACUCAUCUGCUGGAGCAAGCCAUGGAUCCCUGCCAUCUAAAUCCUGCAGGCAUUUCCCUCCCCUCCCACCCCCUUCAAAUCUGUGUGCCAAUGUUGGAAAGUCACUUAUUAAUAAAAUAAAAGGCUUCCCAUAUUAGGAGAGAUUAUUUCUGUAACUUCUGCUACAUGUUCCAAUAUCCUCAAGGACCUCUGCAUCUUCCCUAUUGUGCUUUAAUGCUGGGAAGGAUGGGGCAUCCACCCCCAGAAAUAUUUUCCAUCAGAAAAUUGAAUGAGCCGUGUGUGUCUGGAAAAUGGAACAGUGAAUGUUAACAGGUCCUCACCCUUAGGUGUGCUCUGGUACUUAUUGUUUCAGAUGGCUCUGAAUGAAG